rnacentral:rRNA from 1 species
AUACGGAGGGUGCUAGCGUUACUCGGAAUCACUGGGCGUAAAGGAUGCGUAGGCGGAUAAUCAAGUCAAAAGUGAAAUCCCACGGCUUAACCGUGGAACUGCUUUCGAAACUGGUUAUCUAGAAUAUGGAAGAGGCAGAUGGAAUUAGUGGUGUAGGGGUAAAAUCCGUAGAGAUCACUAGGAAUACCGAUUGCGAAGGCGAUCUGCUGGGACAUUAUUGACGCUGAGGCAUGAAAGCGUGGGGAGCAAACAGGAUUAGAUACCCUAGUAGUCC